UACGUAGGGGGCGAGCGUUGUCCGGAGUUACUGGGCGUAAAGGGCACGCAGGCGGUUGUGUCAGUUUGCGGGGACAGUGGGCGGCUUAACUGCCCAGGGGUCGCAAAGACGGCACGACUGGAGAGCGAGAGAGGGACCUGGAACUCCGGGUGGAGCGGUGAAAUGCGUAGAGAUCCGGAAGAACACCACUGGCGAAGGCAAGGUCCUGGCUCGUAUCUGACGCUGAGGUGCGAAAGCUAGGGGAGCGAACGGG
rnacentral:rRNA from 1 species